AGGGCCGAGCCCAAAACAGUAGAGAAUACGUCAUGUUCGAACCCGAAGGCCCAAAGAUACCCAUCUUGGCCCGAAGCUAAGCGCAAUUCGCACCGCCUCCAGCUCAGAUCAUGGCCCAUCUUUUCCUCGGUUUCAACUUUUCAUUCUAGAUGGCGAAGCUUCCCGAAAAAUACGCGCCACAAAUUUCACCCAUAAAAUAGUAUGAAAUUGUUUCCAAAAUUUGAAUUACACAACGAUAAUGGCAGAGGGUUUUUGCAUGAGAAAAUGAUGAUCUCCAUCGGCGCUGCAGGCUCGCCCGAUGAAGAAGGACAACAACGAAGUUGAUGAAUGAUGAUUGAUUGUUCGCGCAAAUUACAUAGGGCUACUUCCAUGACUUUUCUAUUCUGCAUCGUAUUGCCAUUUUGCGUCGUCCUUGUUAUCGUUGAUUGUUUGAUUAUCUCGACUAUACUAGAGAAAUCGAUAAAGCAUCUGGUUCAAAUAUCAGUUUCUUGCCAAGAGAACAUAAUUACGCUUGAAGAAUAGUCUAUUUGCCGAUCUUUCCUGUCGUUGUUUUGGAUUAUCUUCCUUUUCUUUUUUUUUUUGAUAAAUAACGUAGAAAUAGUUUCUACUAUGCUAUGCAUGAUUAAAUCCUUCAAGACAUGCCUCUAAAAUUUUGUUUAAUUACUGGAACUUUGUCACGAAAUCAGAUCUUAAUUUUUGUGCCACGUACUAAGCGACUACUGAUUAGCGAAGGUUGAUUGUAUUGAAAUUCGCUCUCCCGACUCCUACAGCAACGACUAGUAUUCUCUUUAUGGCUGAACUUGUUUUGGUUUAGGUAUAGAUGUCGCUGAAGUGAAGAUGCUUCAUGCUGUCUAAUGUGGAAGUUUUUUUCUGCUUAUAUUAAUUCCAUCGAUUUAUGAUGUAGGUGAAAGGUGAUCUUCCAGGAUGUAUUCCUGAAUUUCCUUCAAUUUUAUAUCUGGAUGAUGCCAGCAGUUCUGGAUUUUCCAGAGUCUAUUGAACCUGCGAAGUGAUAUGACGAACAUUUGCGAAUGACCUCAAUCUUGAUGGACGAAGAAUGCUUUAAGCUGAGUUGUCCUUCUCUGAUUUUUGUUAGAUAUGAUGGUUUCCAACUUUGCUAGGGACAAAUUUAGAGUUCCUUCACAAUUUAAGGUUAGAGUUUGCAUCCUUCCUCGUCUGAAGGCAGUUCUUUGGAUAAGGGGGCGAGUACAUUAUGUUGAUUUGUGCUGCUUUUGCAGUGAUUUUCAGAUGCUCACGGUGGUACUGUAAGACUCUUCUAUAUUUUUGUUCCUAUUUUAAAGAGUCUUAUUUAGCAUCAUUUGGCCGUUAACAUGGUUGUGAGUUAUCAUAGUAAGAUUUCUAAAUGAAUUGAAGUCCUAGAAGAAUCUCUUCUGGAUGAGAUAAUGUUAAAAUCUUGAUCCAAUUAGUGAACCUGGUGGGACAAAAACCCAAAACUAAAAAUGAAUUUGUAUUUUGUAGUCUUCAAGUUGCUAUUGAAUUACCAAACCUUCUAGUUUGCCCUACUGGUAUACUAUUCCCCUAGAAAUGAGCUACGCAACUUUGCAGCUGUAAUAACCCUUUUAAACGGUGCAACAUAUUAGUUGGAUAAGAAAUUAUUUACAGAGUCAUAAUUUCUUCUUCUUUUUUUUUGAAUUAAGUUCCUUUAGAAAAUGUAGUGUAAAUAUGAUCCUGGUAAGUAUGCUGUGAAUUAGAGUGAGCUUUUUACUUGACAGACUCUUGUUUUGAUUCGAGUCAAUAUAGGGGGGACAAUAUUGCAUUUUUCAAAAACUAGGACUUGUAUAAUUUACAUGUUCCCUUUCUAUUGCCCCCUUUUUUCUGUUGAUGGCCAUUGU